rnacentral:lncRNA from 1 species
CCACCAUGUUUAACCAGCAACUCCAGCAGCAGCAACAGUUGCAGCAGCUCCAGCAACAGCAGCUCCAGCAGCAGCAACAGCAGAUACUCCAGCUCCAACAGCUACUGCAGCAGUCCCCACCACAGGCCUCCUUGUCCAUGCCUGUCAGCCGGCAACCUCCGUGCUUACAAUGUGACAGCCCCAAACCUAGCAGCUCCUAGCCUUACACCACCCCAGAUGGUCACCCCAAAUCUGCAGCAGUUCUUUCCCCAGGCUACUCGACAGUCCCUGCUGGGGCCUCCUCCUGUUGGGAUCCCAAUAAACCCUUCUCAGCAUAACCACUCAGGGAGGAACUCCCAGAAGCAGCCCAGAACCCCCUCUUCCACCACCCCCAAUCACAAGG